CACCUUGAAAUGAUAACAUUUGAACCCUUCUCUUCAUUCAUAUUUGACCAUUGCUUACCUAGCAAAAUGAUUGAGAUCAUGUGCCCAUUUGUGAGAAUUCACCUUGUGUGCGUGUGUGUGAAUCAAUGUGAGAGCUGGUUGAAGGGACUUGUUAGUUGAUGAGUAUUGCGACUUGUGUAGAGGCAUAAGAGUAGGGAUAGGCCUAGAGA
rnacentral:lncRNA from 1 species